rnacentral:lncRNA from 1 species
AUGUCAGAGACCUGCGCAGCGUCCCUUGCAAUAGUCGCAAUAGUUAUCAGUUAUUCUGAAGCCCCUUUGUUCUCUUAUCCCCAGAUAUCAGAGACUCAACGUUUACCCUUCAAGCCCUCUAUUGACAUGAAGUGCUGGAACAUUCCUUACAGUGAUGGUGGCAGGUUGCUGAUCACUUCAGACCAGAACCUUUGGUCAGCAAGGAGCUUCCUUUCCCCAAAGGAUGAAUUCCUGUCAACGCGGUGGUUCUUUGACAUUCUGCUGUGAAGAUGGAAGAAAUAUGCCUGUAGCAACAUAGCAAUGGCAAGGUCAGUGAAACCGAGGGGAGAAAUAAGAGAGUUUGCAAGGCUUUUGCUCUCAGUGGGGGAAAUUAAAGGUGGCUUAUAUUAUAAAAUAUUAAAUAGUGAUUUAAUCAGCAGUGAGAUAUGUAAGUGAGCUUAAUUAGAAAUACAUAUUAUUCUUUGACUUUAAAGCACAAAAUGAAAAAUUAAAGCAAUCUUGGAGGAUAUGUAAUCAGCGAGGAAUAAUAUGUUGGAA